rnacentral:SRP_RNA from 1 species
GCGGGCAUGGUGGUGCGUGCCUGUAGUCCCAGCCACUCGGGAGGCUGAGGUGGGAGGAUCGCUUGGGCCCAGGAGUUCUGGGCUGUAGUGCGCUAUGCUGAUUGGGUGUCUGCACUAAGUUCGGCAUCGAUAUGUUGAGCUCCCGGGAGCAGGGAACCACGAUGUUGCCUAAGGCAGGGUGAACCGGCCCAGGUCGGAAAGAAGCAGGUCAAAACUCCCGAUGCUGAUCAGUAGUGGGAUCGCGCUUGUGAAUAGCCACUGCACUCCAGCCUGGGCAACAUGGCAAGACCCUGUCUCU